AAGUCGUAACAAGGUUUCCGUAGGUGAACCUGCGGAAGGAUCAUUAUCGUAGGGCUUCGGCCCUGUCGAGAUAGAACCCUUGCCUUUUUCGAGUACCGUCCGUUUCCCCAGCAGGCUUGCCUGCUACUGGGGACCCAAAACCAAACUCUUUUGUGCCUGUAAUCGUCUGAAAACAAAACAAAAAUUAAAACUUUUAACAACGGAUCUCUUGGUUCUG
rnacentral:misc_RNA from 1 species